UACCAUGCAGUCGAACGAUGAAGAAACAGCUUGCUGUUUCUGAUUAGUGGCGGACGGGUGAGUAAUGUAUAGGGAUCUGCCUAGUAGUGGGGGACAACAGCCGGAAACGGCUGCUAAUACCGCAUACGCUCUACGGAGGAAAGCGGGGGCUCGUAAGACCUCGUGCUAUUAGAUGAACCUAUAUCAGAUUAGCUAGUUGGUGGGGUAAGGGCCUACCAAGGCGACGAUCUGUAGCUGGUCUGAGAGGAUGAUCAGCCACACUGGGACUGAGACACGGCCCAGACUCCUACGGGAGGCAGCAGUGGGGAAUAUUGGACAAUGGGCGCAAGCCUGAUCCAGCAAUGCCGCGUGUGUGAAGAAGGCCUUCGGGUUGUAAAGCACUUUCAAUAGGGAGGAAAGGUUAUGCGUUAAUACCGUAUAGCUGUGACGUUACCUAUAGAAGAAGCACCGGCUAACUCCGUGCCAGCAGCCGCGGUAA
rnacentral:rRNA from 1 species